GAUGAACGCUGGCGGCGUGCUUAACACAUGCAAGUCGAACGAAGCGAUUUAGCGGAAGUUUUCGGAUGGAAGCUAAAUUGACUGAGUGGCGGACGGGUGAGUAACGCGUGGGUAACCUGCCUCACACUGGGGGACAACAGUUAGAAAUGACUGCUAAUACCGCAUAAGCGCACAGGACCGCAUGGUCUGGUGUGAAAAACUCCGGUGGUGUGAGAUGGACCCGCGUUUGAUUAGCUAGUUGGUGGGGUAACGGCCUACCAAGGCGACGAUCAAUAGCCGACCUGAGAGGGUGACCGGCCACAUUGGGACUGAGACACGGCCCAAACUCCUACGGGAGGCAGCAGUGGGGAAUAUUGCACAAUGGGGGAAACCCUGAUGCAGCGACGCCGCGUGAGUGAAGAAGUAUUUCGGUAUGUAAAGCUCUAUCAGCAGGGAAGAAAAUGACGGUACCUGACUAAGAAGCCCCGGCUAACUACGUGCCAGCAGCCGCGGUAAUACGUAGGGGGCAAGCGUUAUCCGGAUUUACUGGGUGUAAAGGGAGCGUAGACGGUAAAGCAAGUCUGAAGUGAAAGCCCGGGGCUCAACCCCGGGACUGCUUUGGAAACUGUUUAACUAGAGUGCUGGAGAGGUAAGCGGAAUUCCUAGUGUAGCGGUGAAAUGCGUAGAUAUUAGGAGGAACACCAGUGGCGAAGGCGGCUUACUGGACAGUAACUGACGUUGAGGCUCGAAAGCGUGGGGAGCAAACAGGAUUAGAUACCCUGGUAGUCCACGCCGUAAAC
rnacentral:rRNA from 1 species